rnacentral:rRNA from 1 species
AAUCAACGCUGGCGGCGCGCUUAACACAUGCAAGUCGAACGAGAAAGGGAGCAAUCCUGAGUAAAGUGGCGCACUGGUGAGUAACACGUGGAUAUCUACCUCUUGGUGGGGAAUAACCUGGGAAACCUGGGCCAAUACCGCAUAAGUUCGUGAGAAGAAAGGCGCAAGUCGCCGAGAGAGGAGUCCGCGGUCGAUUAGGUAGUUGGCGGGGUAAAAGCCCACCAAGCCGAAGAUCGAUAGCCGGCCUGAGAGGGCACACGGCCACACUGGCACUGAAACACGGGCCAGACUCCUACGGGAGGCAGCAGUGGGGAAUCUUGCACAAUGGGGGAAACCCUGAUGCAGCGACGCCGCGUGAGCGAUGAAGCCCCUUCGGGGUGUAAAGGCUCUUCGGCAGGAACGAUAAUGACGGUACCUGCAGAAGAAGCUGCGGCUAACUACGUGCCAGCAGCCGCGGUAAUACGUAGGCAGCAAGCGUUGUUCGGAAUUACUGGGCGUAAAAGAGUGUGUAGGCGGUGUCGUAAGUUUGGUGUGAAAUCUCCCGGCUUAACUGGGAGGGUGCGCUAAAGACUGCGAUGCUGGAGU